rnacentral:rRNA from 1 species
CUACGCACUCCUACGGGAGGCAGCAGUGGGGAAUAUUGCACAAUGGGCGCAAGCCUGAUGCAGCCAUGCCGCGUGUAUGAAGAAGGCCUUCGGGUUGUAAAGUACUUUCAGCAGUGAGGAAGGUGGGUAUGUUAAUAGCAUAUUCAUUUGACGUUAGCUGCAGAAGAAGCACCGGCUAACUCCGUGCCAGCAGCCGCGGUAAUACGGAGGGUGCGAGCGUUAAUCGGAAUUACUGGGCGUAAAGCGCAUGCAGGUGGUUUGUUAAGUCAGAUGUGAAAGCCCGGGGCUCAACCUCGGAAUUGCAUUUGAAACUGGCAAACUAGAGUACUAUAGAGGGGGUAGAAUUUCAGGUGUAGCGGUGAAAUGCGUAGAGAUCUGAAGGAAUACCGGUGGCGAAGGCGGCCCCCUGGACAGAUACUGACACUCACGAUGCGAAAGCGUGGGGAGCAAACAGGAUUAGAUACCCUGGUAG